GGACCCAUCCUGCCUUUCUGCUCGCCAAACAACUUCCCACUUCCUCCUUCCCUCAGGACCUGGCAGACUCCACUUUGUUCUCUAUUUCCAUGAGUUUGGUGGCUUUAGACUGAAAACAUAAGAAUGCUGGGAGUUCCUUGAAAUUUCAUCGUCAAGUCUUAGUGAAAGUGGAAGCCAAUCCAGCCACACUGGCUUUCCUAAUGAGUCAUGUGACCCACUGACUCCAAUGGCAUUGUGGGAAUUCCAUUCUGUACUCAAGCUACACAAAGGCUCACAAAGAGGACAGAACAGGAGAGAUGUUAGAAGAGGACCAUUGUUGUGUGACAAGACUUCUCCCGAGGAGAUACAACACACACAGUCUACUCACCCCAGAUAUGGAGCCCAUAUCCCGGCAAAAGUAUGGAUACCACCAAAGUCCAACUUGAUGAACCGUGAGUGUUAUUGGGGUUACUUACAGGAGCAAAAAUGACUCAAGGACAGCUGGAUUACCAAAGCCCACCCCAGCAUUAAUGACAGUUCACAAAAGCUGGAAACAUGGAGCACAAUGAGUAGCCCAUAGGCAACUCAAC